rnacentral:rRNA from 1 species
GACGAACGCUGGCGGCGUGCUUAACACAUGCAAGUCGAACGGAAAGGCCCUGCUUUUGUGGGGUGCUCGAGUGGCGAACGGGUGAGUAACACGUGAGUAACCUGCCCUUGACUUUGGGAUAACUUCAGGAAACUGGGGCUAAUACCGGGUAGGAGCUCCUGCUGCAUGGUGGGGGUUGGAAAGUUUCGGCGGUUGGGGAUGGACUCGCGGCUUAUCAGCUUGUUGGUGGGGUAGUGGCUUACCAAGGCUUUGACGGGUAGCCGGCCUGAGAGGGUGACCGGCCACAUUGGGACUGAGAUACGGCCCAGACUCCUACGGGAGGCAGCGGUGGGGAGUAUUGCACAAUGGGCGGAAGCCUGAUGCAGCAACGCCGCGUGCGGGAUGACGGCCUUCGGGUUGUAAACCGCUUUCGCCUGUGACGAAGCGUGAGUGACGGUAAUGGGUAAAGAAGCACCGGCUAACUACGUG